rnacentral:rRNA from 1 species
GUAAGUUGUUAAGGGCACACGGUGGAUGCCUUGGCAUCAGGAGCCGAUGAAGGACGUGUGAAUCUGCGAUAAGCCUCGGGGAGCCGAUAACUGGGCGUGGAUCCGAGGAUUUCCGAAUGGGGAAACCUCGCUCAUCGUUUUGGUGGGUGACCGCUGGUUGAAUGUAUAGGCCAGUUGGGGGGAACGCGGGGAAGUGAAACAUCUCAGUACCCGCAGGAAGAGAAAAUAAUAAUGAUUCUGUUAGUAGUGGCGAGCGAACGCGGAUGAGGCUAAACCUGUGGUGUGUGAUAGCGGUUAGGUGUUGCAUCAUGGGUGUUGUGGGAGUUGUUGUGGUGGUUCUAACUGGUCACCGGCGUAGUGCAUGAUGGUAGGCGAACUGGCUUGGAAUGGUCGACCGUAGUGGGUGAGAGUCCCGUAGUUGAAAGUGUUGUGUGUGCGUUGACAAUGUCCCGAGUAGCACGGGGCUCGUGGAAUCUCGUGUGAAUCUGCCAGGACCACCUGGUAAGUCUAAAUACUUCCUGAUGACCGAUAGUGGAUCAGUACCGUGAGGGAAUGGUGAAAAGUACCCCGGGAGGGGAGUGAAAUAGUACCUGAAACCGUGUGCUUACAAGCCGUUAUAGCCCCCCUUUUGUGUGGGGUGGUGGCGUGCCUUUUGAAGAAUGAGCCUGCGAGUUAGUGUUUUGUCGCGAGGUUAACCCGUGUGGGGUAGUCGUAGCGAAAGCGAGUCUGAAUAGGGCGUUGUAGUGGCAGGAUCUAGACCCGAAGCGGAGUGAUCUAUCCAUGGCCAGGUUGAAGCACGUGUAAGAGCGUGUGGAGGACCGAACCCACCUAGGUUGAAAACUGGGGGGAUGAGCUGUGGAUAGGGGUGAAAGGCCAAUCAAACUCUGUGAUAGCUGGUUCUCCCCGAAAUGCAUUUAGGUGCAGCGUUACAUGUUUCUUGCUGGAGGUAGAGCUACUGGAUGGCCGAUGGGCCCGCGAGGGUUACUGACGUUAGCUAAACUCCGAAUGCCGGUAAGUGAGAGUGUAGCAGUGAGACAGUGGGGGAUAAGCUUCAUUGUCGAGAGGGAAACAGCCCAGACCAUCAACUAAGGCCCCUAAGCGUGUGCUAAGUGGGAAAGGAUGUGGAGUUGCUGAGACAACCAGGAGGUUGGCUUAGAAGCAGCCAUCCUUGAAAGAGUGCGUAAUAGCUCACUGGUCAAGUGAUUCUGCGCCGAUAAUGUAGCGGGGCUCAAGUACACCGCCGAAGUUGUGGCAAUCAGUCUUUGUGGCUGGUUGGGUAGGGGAGCGUCCUGCACGAGGUGAAGCUGCCACGGGAGUGUGUGGUGGAUUGUGUGGGAGUGAGAAUGCAGGCAUGAGUAGCGAAUCACGGGUGAGAAACCCGUGCGCCGGAUGAUCAAGGGUUCCAGGGUCAAGUUAAUCUGCCCUGGGUUAGUCGGGGCCUAAGGCGAGGCCGACAGGCGUAGUCGAUGGAGAACGGGUUGAUAUUCCCGUACCAGUGAAGGACCGUCCAUACUGAUAUUGUGAUGCUAACCAUGCCGAUCACGGUGUCAUGAAGUUUUUCUUUGUGGUGUUGUGGGGUGUGUGGGACCCAAGCUUUGGAGGUAAGCGUGUUAACAGGUGUGACGCAGGAAGGUAGCCAAGCCACGCGGUGGUUGUCGUGGUCUAAGCGUGUAGGAUGACUGGUUGUUAAAUGCGCCGGUUGUGUGUCUGAGACGUGAUGGGACCCCUUGUUUGUGGGGGAUUUGGUGAUCCUAUGCUGCCGAGAAAAGCAUCGGCGUGAGGUUUUAGCUGCCCGUACCCGAAACCGACACAGGUGAUCAGGUAGAGAAUACUAAGGCGAUCGAGAGAAUCAUGGUUAAGGAACUCGGCAAAAUGCCCCCGUAACUUCGGGAGAAGGGGGGCCCUGAGCGUGAUCUGCCCGUGCGGUGGGGAGCGUGUAGGGGUCGCAGAGACCAGGGGGAAGCGACUGUUUAUCAAAAACACAGGUCCGUGCGAAGUCGUAAGACGAGGUAUACGGACUGACUCCUGCCCGGUGCUGGAAGGUUAAGAGGAUUGGUUAGCCCUGUGUGGGCGAAGCUGAGAAUUUAAGCCCCAGUAAACGGCGGUGGUAACUAUAACCAUCCUAAGGUAGCGAAAUUCCUUGUCGGGUAAGUUCCGACCUGCACGAAUGGAGUAACGACUUCCCUACUGUCUCAACCAUGAACUCGGUGAAAUUGCAGUACGAGUAAAGAUGCUCGUUUCGCGCAGCAGGACGGAAAGACCCCG